AGAGUUUGAUCCUGGCUCAGGAUGAACGCUAGCGGCAGGCCUAAUACAUGCAAGUCGAACGGGUUAAAACACCCUUUCGGGGUGUUGAGAGUGGCGGACGGGUGCGCAACGCGUAUGCAACCAGCCCCCUCACCGGGAUAGCCGGUGGAAACGCCGGAUAAUACCGGAUGUGCAUCGCGGAGGCAUCUCCUGAGGUGCAAGGCGGAGACGCGGAGGGGACGGGCAUGCGUCCCAUUAGAUUGUAGGCGGGUGACGGCCACCUAGUCGACGAUGGUAGGGAUCUGAGAGGACGGUCCCCACACUGGUACUGAGACACGGACCAGACUCCUGCGGAGGCAGCAGUAAGGGAUAUUGGGCAAUGGGGAACCCUGACCCAGCCAUGCCGCGUGAGGGAAUGAGGCCCUACGGGUCGUGAACCUCUUUAUACGGGGACAAGGGCGCGCACGUGAUGCACGCUUGAGGGUACCGUAGGAAUAAGCGUCGGCUAACUCCGUGCC
rnacentral:rRNA from 1 species